UACGAAGGUCCCAAGCGUUAUCCGGAUUUAUUGGGUUUAAAGGGUGCGUAGGCGGAUUAUUAAGUCAGUGGUGAAAGCUCCAUGCCUAACAUGGAAAUUGCCAUUGAUACUGAUGAUCUUGAGUACAUUUGAAGUGGGCGGAAUGUGUCAUGUAGCGGUGAAAUGCUUAGAUAUGACACAGAACACCGAUUGCGUAGGCAGCUCGCUAAACUGUAACUGACGCUGAGGCACGAAAGCGUGGGGAUCAAACAGG
rnacentral:rRNA from 1 species